GGGCGUGCCGGUGCGGGGCCCUCCCCCAGAAGAUGGCGAGUCGGUGCGGGCGGCAGGAGUGCUCCAUUGAGAGGCGCGGCUUCCGCCACCAGCUCGACUCGUGGCGACACAAGCUCAUUCACUGUGUCGUUAAUAAAGAUGUUUAACAACACUGGACCCAGAACAGAUCCCUGUGGAACCCCACUUGAGACCUUCCUCCAAUUUGACAUCAUUCCAUGAAUAGUUACUUUUUGUUUGCGGUUGUUUAACUAAUUCUGUAUACACUUAAUGGUAGUUCCGUCAAGACUGCAUUUCUCCAGCUUAUUUAUCAGAAUGUCCUGGGACACUGUCAAAAGCCUUUCUGAAGUCCAGGAAGACAUACCUGCAGACAGUCUCUUCAAUCUCCUUGGUAACUCUCACUACCCAUCCCAGGGCUCCCUACCCUUUUCUCUUACGGGUUUGGCCUAAGGACUGGUGAAGGAUGUUGUUCACAAUUACUCUUAAAGAGACUUAAGCUCUUAAACUUCUCUAGAUUCUCCAAAAAGGAGAUCUCUCUUCAGUUGGAGCAUUGAGACCGUUACCAUAGACUCUCAACUAAGCUACCCAGAAAAGUGCAAAGUGUGUGUGUGUGUGUGUAUAUGUGUGUGU